rnacentral:rRNA from 1 species
AUGGCAGACAGCAGCCGCGAUACCGUCUUCGACAACCUGCCCGAGUGGCUCAUUGUCGACGAGAUCCUCUCCCGGUUGCCAGCCAAAGACGUACUCCGCUGCCGCGCUGUCCGCAAGUCGUGGCGCAGCACCACUUCCACCGACAUAUUCAUCCUUCAGCACCACCACCGUCAGCCCUCGCUCCCCAUCAUCGAGCACCUAAACGGCAUUUGCCGCCUCGACAGAGCCUCCAAUGAUCAAAAGAUACUGCCCAUCCUACAGUAUGCAGGCAGAAGCACUGUUACAGGGGUCGACCUUAUGCACCGUGCCGUCUGUGAUGGCCUCAUCAUCCUGGCGCAGAACGGCAGAAGCCUGAUUACUACAUCUGUAACCCGGCCACUCGCAAGUGUGCUUCCCUGCCACGCCCUCCACUACAGUCAGGCUUCACCAACGACGAAAUAG